rnacentral:rRNA from 1 species
UACGUAGGGUGCGAGCGUUAAUCGGAAUUACUGGGCGUAAAGCGUGCGCAGGCGGUUUUGUAAGCCAGAUGGGAAAUCCCCGGGCUUAACCUGGGAAUGGCAUUUGGGACUGCAAGGCUGGAGUAUGGCAGAGGGGACUAGAAUUCCUGGUGUAGCAGUGAAAUGCGUAGAUAUCAGGAGGAAUACCGAUGGCGAAGGCAGGUCCCUGGGCCAAUACUGACGCUCAUGCACGAAAGCGUGGGGAGCAAACAGG